UACAGAGGGGGCAAGCGUUGUUCGGAAUUACUGGGCGUAAAGGGCGCGUAGGCGGCCUUCUAAGUCGAACGUGAAAUCCCCGGGCUCAACCCGGGAACUGCGUCCGAUACUGGAAGGCUUGAAUCCGGGAGAGGGAUGCGGAAUUCCAGGUGUAGCGGUGAAAUGCGUAGAUAUCUGGAGGAACACCGGUGGCGAAGGCGGCAUCCCGGACCGGCAUUGACGCUGAGGUGCGAAAGCGUGGGGAGCAAACAGG
rnacentral:rRNA from 1 species